CUGGGAGCCAGUGGACAGUGUUAAAUGCCUGAGUGGCACCAGGUCAGGGGCGCUAAACACUUAAGGACUUAAGGGGCAGAUGAUGGGUGCUGUUAGAUUGCUAAGCGGCAGCAGGUGACUGGCAAGCAGUGGGCAGUGUUAGGUGCUUGAGGGACAGCAGGUGGGCAGUGUUAGGUGCCUAAGUGGUAGCUAAUGGGUGGAGUUAAAUGCCUGAGUGGCAACAGGUGGGCGGUGCUAGGUGCCUAAGUGGCAGCUAAUGGGUGGAGUUAAAUGCCUGAGUGGCAGCAGGUGGGUGGUGUUAGGUGCCUAAGUGGCAGCCAAUGGGUGGAGUUAAAUGCCUUAGUGGCAGCAAGUGGGCGGUGUUAGGUGCCUAAGUGGCAGCCAAUGGGUUGAGUUAAAUGCCUGAGUGGCAGCACGUUGGGUGGGCCUAGAUAGACUCCUAGGGUCUUAUUGUUCUUAUUGGCAUGUG